AGCGUCCUCUUCGACAAAUAUGGAGCUUCAUAACAAACGUACGUCCGUUCGGAGCGAAACCGUGGAGAAAUCGUAUCGAAAGUGUUGCUUAUAAUGUUCGAUAAAUGUACAAGAUGUCGAAUAAAGCUCGUCAAUCAUCGAAAAAGAUGAAUCUUCUUGAUACUCUUUCGAACUCAGAGCUGCAUAAUGUGUGGCUCACAGCUGGAAUACGAUCAAAUUCAAACGGUUUGAACAAAGCAGAAUAUCCCAACAAAGAAAUAAUACAUCUCUCGUACGGUCUCUAUCGGAAUUCUUCUUCCUGCGCAAUACCAGAAUUCUCAUAGUCUACGGAGAAUGCUUUGAGGAUGAGAAAGGCAUGCUUCAACAAUUAGGAGACUUCUAUUUUCAGCAGCGGUGCGCCUCUUUUGUCGGGCAUCGAUCGUCGGUUUUUUCCAUGUAGGUAAGACAUAUAUAAGGAGUUGAAACCAGAAGAUCCGAGUUAGAAGAGACAGAGAACGAGAGAAAGGGGAAAAGAGAGAGCAAAAAAUCUUUCUCAGGGAGGGCUGAUGGAAGACGAGGGUUUGCCAGAGGUCAAGGUUGGAACGAGUGAAUUCUUCCCUCUCUUUGCUUUUCCUCUCGUCUCUCUCUCUCUCUCUCUCUCUCUCUCUUUCCCUCUAGUUUUCUCUUCCAAUUCCACCACUUUUCUCUCUCCAAUUUUCUCUCCUUUCUCUGGAUCGUCAUCGAAAUCGC